rnacentral:rRNA from 1 species
UACGUAGGUGGCAAGCGUUGUCCGGAUUUACUGGGCGUAAAGAGCGCGCAGGCGGUCGGAUAAGUCGAAUGUGAAAGCCCCCGGCUCAACUGGGGAGGGUCGUUCGAUACUGUUCGACUCGAAGGCAGGAGAGGGAAGUGGAAUUCCCGGUGUAGUGGUGAAAUGCGUAGAUAUCGGGAGGAACACCAGUGGCGAAGGCGACUUCCUGGCCUGUUCUUGACGCUGAGGCGCGAAAGCUAGGGGAGCAAACGGG